ensembl:lincRNA
GGUUCCCCAGCAGGACACGGAGUGCGAGUUAUGAUGCCCUGGGAUGAUCAGGAGCCCUGAAGUGUGUGAGUUGAGGGGCUGUUUGAAGGAAUAGGAAGCCAACUACUGAGAUGCUGCCUAGAAACUCAGGCUUAAAUCAGAAAUCUCCAAUGAGCUCCCAGGUCAGCGUCCCGUCCAGAUCCUCCGGGUAAAAGUAGUGGCCGAAGUCCUUGGCAGCAUUCUGGAAGCAGUACUCUACAGGGGAAGGGAUGGCAGCUAGAGUCAGCCAGGACUCUCCCUGGAUCACUGUUUACCAUCACACUUCAUCUGCUCCUGCUGCUCACAGUUCUGAGGGGCCGCUCAACUCACCGGCAGGGUCGAAGCUGAAGGUUAGAGAGUCCUCAUCCACCGUGGUGAAGUUACCAUUGUAGCACAGUAUGUGGUCUGCCAGAAAUAAAGGAGGAGAAAAACAC